rnacentral:lncRNA from 1 species
GUGGAAUUCUGGCUCCCGGUGCAAGUCUCUUUCCAUCUUUGAGGCCCACUGUGCUGUUUCCCGCGGUGGCUCUACCAUUGAGGUUCCCGCCCAGAGCACAGGGCUCCACGCCCUGCCCAAGCUGGCAGCCCUUGUUUUCUGUGGUUGGUUCCUCCCCCUCCUGCCUGCCUUUCUUCCUCUCUUGCUGUACUGGGGCUGAGCCCAGGGCCUUGUGCCUUCUAGGACAAGAGCUCUGCCUCUGAGCCACCUGCCCAGCCGUUUCUGAUUUACUGAGACAGGGCCUCGCUAAGUUGCUGAGGCUGGUCAUGAACUUGUGAUCCUCCUGCCUCAGGCUCCUGGGUAGCUGGGAAGACCAGCGUGGCCCCCGUGCUAGCUGGUGCUUGUCCUCUGGUAGGAGGCGUCCUGGUGGGUGAGGGGUGGUGUGUUCUCCACGGGCGCAGGGCCUUGCUCUAGUUAGAGGUGCUUCUUGUGGUCAUCUUCUCCCACUCUGUGUGGCCUUCUCCCUCUGUGGAGAGUGGCUUCCCAUGCCCAAAGGGUUCAAUUUUCAUGAAGUCCAAUUUGUCCUCGUGGUUUUUGAGCUCAUACGUGGGGACUUUGAUCGAAUGUUAAUUUUGCAUAUGUGCCGGCUGAGGGUGGCUGCACUCCUGUGCGUGUGGACGUGCAGUUUUCCCAGCACCGUUUCUGGAGGGGGCUGUGCUUUCCCGUGGAAUGGUGUCGGCACCGUUGUUGGAAAUCAUUUGACCACAUGGAGUGAAAGGGUUAAUGUGGGGAAUGUUCUGAGGCCUGUGUUGUCAGGCGAUUCCUUGUUUGCAGAACCACAGGGCUUACCUGCAUACACCCAGGUGCAGUCCCCUACACACCUGGGCCUGGUGAUAGCGCCUCCUCCUCCUCCUAGGCCACGCCUGUGCGCAGGUCACUGUACUGAAUGGCGGAGGCAGUUGUGCUCAAUGUUGAGUUCAAUGUGACCAGGUGAUAGGAGCAUUUUAGGUUCAUGUAUAUGUGGUGGAGCGUCAUUAUAUGUCCACACUUGUCACAUGACUGUCCAGAAAGAUUUAUUUCCAGGAAUCUCAUUUGUUGUGUUUGUCUUUCCUCCUGCCAGUACCACACGGAUUUGAUUACUUCAGCUGUGUACAGAUGGUCCCAAAAAAUGGUUUGAGAAACCAUUUUUCCCUUUAUGGCUGUCCAGUAACUAUAGGCAUUCCGUAAAAUCUGUGCCUCAAAUUUUGAAUUUAAUCUUUUUUUUUCCUUGUGAUGCUGGGGAUCCAUCCCAAGACCUCAUGCAAGCUGGGCAAGUGCUCUCUGACUGAACCAAAGCCCCAGCCCUGAAUGUUAAUCUGUUGAUAUGCAAGUAUCAAUCCAUG